UGGGGAAUUUUGGACAAUGGGCGAAAGCCUGAUCCAGCAAUGCCGCGUGUGUGAAGAAGGCCUUCGGGUUGUAAAGCACUUUUGUCCGGAAAGAAAUCCUUGGCUCUAAUACAGUCGGGGGAUGACGGUACCGGAAGAAUAAGCACCGGCUAACUACGUGCCAGCAGCCGCGGUAAUACGUAGGGUGCAAGCGUUAAUCGGAAUUACUGGGCGUAAAGCGUGCGCAGGCGGUUUGCUAAGACCGAUGUGAAAUCCCCGGGCUCAACCUGGGAACUGCAUUGGUGACUGGCAGGCUAGAGUAUGGCAGAGGGGGGUAGAAUUCCACGUGUAGCAGUGAAAUGCGUAGAGAUGUGGAGGAAUACCGAUGGCGAAGGCAGCCCCCCUGGGCCAAUACUGACGCUCAUGCACGAAAAGCGUGGGGAGCAAAACAGGAUUAGAUACCCUGGUAGUCCACGCCCUAAAACGAUGUCAACUAGUUGUUGGGGAUUCAUUUCCUUAGUAACGUAGCUAACGCGUGAAGUUGACCGCCUGGGGAGUACGGUCGCAAGAUUAAAACUCAAAUGAAUUGACGGGGUCAUAGCUGUUUCCU
rnacentral:rRNA from 1 species